GAAGCGCCCGGCUUUCCUGCUCAGUGAUGUUUGUUAGUGAACCGGGGCCAGAGUCCAGACCACGUUGCAUCAGCUCGAAGAAUUCAGUAACUUUUCAUCCCCUCAUUCGUGUUUGUCCUUGUGUACAGACCUGUGCAUUUUUACCCCGUGCAGAGAUUCACGUAACUUCUGCCAAAAUCAAUAUUCCGUCAAUACGAAGGACAGCCCAGUGUAUCCUCUUACGUGCAGGCCCCACCCCUGUGCCCUGGCAACCAGCGAUCUGUUCUUUGUCUUUGCACUUGUGUCCUUUUGACGAUGUUGUCUGAGUGGAACCUGCCGUCUGUGACCUACAGAGACGGGCUUUCCCACCAAACCCUGGAGACGUGUCCCGGCCGUUGUGCAAGCAGGGAUAAAACUGCUAUGGACAUUUGUGUACGUGUGCAGGUGAACGCUGGUGACGGUGUGCUUUGGGCUCCACGACACUUUGCACAUGGCAUUUGGGGCUUGGACUAAGGAUGCUUGAGUCCUGCCUGCCAUUCCUCUCAACCCGUUUUUCUUGCAAUGUGUGGCCCUCCCAUUCCUGGCCCCAUGGCUCCCCAUGUCGUGCUCCUGGAUGGAUCGAUCCUUAGAACGCCUGUGUGUGACUUCCAAGAAGGGCCAGAGCAUAGCCUUGUGCCGUGGGUUCCAGAAGUUUAUUCCGUCCCAUUCUGCGUGAUUCCUGACUGGACAUCUGGUAUCUAGCGACCCUCUCCCCUGUGCUGAGUGAGCAAGGCUGUGGUAGAGUAUGCCUUUCUGAAAUACGUGCACGGAAGAAGCAUCGAUCUUCUAAUGUGGUUGGAUCCACAACAGAAAUUGUGUGAUUCCUUGGAGGAAGGGUCUAGUGCCAUUUGUGAAAGGCCUGAUUCCUGAGGUCACGCGGGAAAGCAGCUCCCUCGCUCAGAAGCGUGACCCUUCUGGAUGUCUUCUUUGCAUAAAUGUCUGUUCAUGUCCUCUGCCCAUUUCUUGAUUGGAUUAUUUGUUCUUUGGGUGUUGAGUUUGCUAAGUUCUUUAUAGAUUCUGGACACUAGUCCUUUAUCUGAUAUGUCGUUUGCAAAUAUCUUCUCCCAUUUUGUCAGUUGUCUUUUGAUUUUGUUAACUGUUUCCUUUGCUGUGCAAAAGCUUUUGAUCUUGAUGAAAUCCCAGUAGUUCCAAACCAUAAGUGACUCUUAAUCUCACAAAACAAACUGAGGGUUGC